GAUAUUGGCCGGCCUUCUUCUCCAAUCUUGAUGCCAAUCUUCCAAAGCCAAUAUCUCUCUUUUUCAUUGUUCGAUUGAUUUCAAAAUUUUCAUAUACAUAGAAAAAUAAGUCUAAUAUCCUUUCACAUAAGUUUCACUCUAAUCGAACUAGCAGAUUGUAAGAAAUCUUAAAAACCCUCACUAGAGCUAAAAUUCUACUUUUUGAGACCUUGACCCACUUAAACCUCAAUAUCCUUCAAUUCAAUCGUUAGAUUGAGCUCAAAUUCAUAAAACAUAUUGAAAUCAACUAUAAACAUAAACCCAAAAAAUUUCACCCAUAGAUCUAUUAAAAAAACUCUUGAAAUCACCCAAAAUAUAAACCCUAUUUUAUUUCAUAAAAUCCAAGUCAUCCGAAACAAACGUUGACUUUGCAAAGCUAUUACAAAGUCAAUACAGAUCUAAAUCACCCAAAAUCAAUAGCCAUAGAAACCCUAUUCAAUCUUCUGUCAAAUUUCCAUUCUCCGAUCUAUCAAAGAGUCCUGUAGUUGUUGUCAAGACUCGGUUUUGUGCCCCAGGGUCUGAUUUCGAUGUUGGUUCAUAACCGGCCCUCUCCAGGUAUCAAUAUCUAGGUUUUCUAAGUAAUUUUUACUGGAAUUUACUCUUAACUUCUUCCUUAAGCUGUCUAUAUUAUUUAUUUUUCCAAUCUACCUUAUUUUGCCUUAUUUAUGGUCCUACGAAGUAAGUAGAAGUCACCUUUCUAAAAAAGUAGCAUUGCUACUAAAAGUUUUACUAUCUUCCUAUCUUUUCUCUAUAUUUUUCUACUUUUUCUUUUGACUUGGCUCUUCUAUAAUAAGAUCCAUGUUAUCAUCUUUCAUUAUAUAGUCAUGUUACAACAUGACAUCCACCC
rnacentral:lncRNA from 1 species